rnacentral:rRNA from 1 species
AUUGAACGCUGGCGGCAGGCCUAACACAUGCAAGUCGAGCGAGCGGCGGACGGGUGAGUAAUGUCUGGGAAACUGCCUGAUGGAGGGGGAUAACUACUGGAAACGGUAGCUAAUACCGCAUACCAUCAGAUGUGCCCAGAUGGGAUGUGCUAGUAGGUGGGGUAAAGGCUCACCUAGGCGACGAUCCCUAGCUGGUCUGAGAGGAUGACCAGGCACCAUGGAGCUGAGACACGGUCCAGACUCCUACGGGAGGCAGCACGGGGGAAUAUUGGACAAUGGGGGGAAACCUGAUCCAGCCAUGCCGCGGGUGUGAAGAAGGCCUUAUGGGGGGAAAGAACUUUAAGCGAGGAGGCGUUCUUGCAGAAAAGCACCGGCUAACUCUGUGCCAGCAGCCGCGGUAAUUC